ensembl:snoRNA SNORA70 Small nucleolar RNA SNORA70
CUGCAGCCAAUUAAGCUAACUGGAUUCCUUUCCUCAUGGGGGCCCAGUGUGCAAUGGCUGCAAACAGCAGCUUCCUUGGUAAUGUAUGCAGCCUGUUUCUGGUAUGGGUUGCUCUAAGGGACCUUGGAGACAGGC